GAUGAACGCUGGCGGCGUGCCUAAUACAUGCAAGUCGAGCGAACAGACGAGGAGCUUGCUCCUCUGACGUUAGCGGCGGACGGGUGAGUAACACGUGGAUAACCUACCUAUAAGACUGGGAUAACUUCGGGAAACCGUAGCUAAUACCGGAUAAUAUAUUGAACCGCAUGGUUCAAUAGUGAAAGACGGUUUUGCUGUCACUUAUAGAUGGAUCCGCGCCGCAUUAGCUAGUUGGUAAGGUAACGGGUUACCAAGGCAACGAUGCGUAGCCGACCUGAGAGGGUGAUCGGCCACACUGGAACUGAGACACGGUCCAGACUCCUACGGGAGGCAGCAGUAGGGAAUCUUCCGCAAUGGGCGAAAGCCUGACGGAGCAACGCCGCGUGAGUGAUGAAGGUCUUCGGAUCGUAAAACUCUGUUAUUAGGGAAGAACAAAUGUGUAAGUAACUAUGCACGUCUUGACGGUACCUAAUCAGAAAGCCACGGCUAACUACGUG
rnacentral:rRNA from 1 species